rnacentral:rRNA from 1 species
GACGUAGGGCGCGAGCGUUGUCCGGAUUUAUUGGGCGUAAAGAGCUCGUAGGCGGCUUGUUGCGUCGACUGUGAAAACCCGCGGCUUAACUGCGGGCUUGCAGUUGAUACGGGCAGGCUAGAGUUCGGUAGGGGAGACUGGAAUUCCUGGUGUAGCGGUGAAAUGCGCAGAUAUCAGGAGGAACACCGGUGGCGAAGGCGGGUCUCUGGGCCGAUACUGACGCUGAGGAGCGAAAGCGUGGGGAGCAAACGGG